CUUUUAAUCCCGAAGCCCCUGAAAAUUCUCGUAUGAUUAAUUCGGCAUUCAGCAGCUAGGCCCAGAGUGACAUUAAAAGGAAAUUGCAAAAGUUAGAGGGAUUUGCAGGGAUGUCCAUAACACAGCUAGUGGAAGUCUCAAACAGGGUUUAUAUGAAUAGGGAAGCUGAAAAAAAGCGUAAGGAGGAACGCAGGAUGAAAAAGAAAGUAGAUAUGCUAGCAAUAGCUAUUACAGG